rnacentral:rRNA from 1 species
UACGUAGGGGGCAAGCGUUGUCCGGAUUUACUGGGCGUAAAGAGCGCGUAGGCGGAAGCUUAAGUGUGGCCUGAAAGCCCCCGGCUCAACCGGGGAAGGUGGCUGCAAACUGGGUUUCUUGAGGGCGAUAGAGGAGAGUGGAAUUCCUGGUGUAGCGGUGAAAUGCGUAGAUAUCAGGAGGAACACCCGUGGCGAAGGCGGCUCUCUGGACGGUUACUGACGCUGAGGCACGAAAGCGUGGGGAGCAAACAGG